UGAUUUACUAUAUGCAAAUUUUUAAAUUACUUUGUUAAAACAAAGUUUUAAUAAUUUUUGUUUAGAUGAAGUUGCUUUAGACAGGAUCAGUUAGUUAUAUCCCUAUUAUAUGAUUUAACAUUUUAGUAUUUAGUCAUUAACUAUUAAUUUUCUUAUACAGUUCUUUAUUAUGCCUAUGUAGAUUGUUGUCUAACAAUAUUAUUUCUUGUUAGUUGUAUUUUUGUAUACUUAAUGCUUACAUUUUAUUAAGUCACUUUUUUUUUUCUGUAGAUAAUAUAGAACAAACAAUCAGUAAGUUAAGUUUGAAUUGUUUUAGUUACUAUAUCAUUUAAAGUAUUUGUAUGCUGUGUUAGUAUUCCUUGUUAAAUAAAUGUUUUGAUUUAAAUUUGGCAUUUAGGUGAGUAGGCCAAGCAGAUAUGUAAGUUUUGUAUAUUUCUAUAUUUUUCAACAUAUAACUUAUUGAUACAUAAUAACAAUUUUAAACUUCUAAUAAAUGUUUUAUUUUAACAUUGGCAUUUAGGUGAAUAUGGCAAACAGAUAACAAACCUUACUUCAAUAAUUGUUUAGUGUCGCUGUCGUCUAAACCAUCUGUAUCAUCUUCUUCCAUUACUGUUGGAAAUUUGUUUGUUAACCGAAGAAAAUGGCUAGCUCGUUAACCAUACUGUAUGGUUCUGUUCAUGUGAGAAUCACGUGAAUUACAAUAAUAUAGGUAUUUGUUAUACUUGGUUAUAAAGAUGACAUGUUUUUUACAGCCAAUUGACUUAUUUAUAGCCCCAAAAUAGUAGUUGUAUAAUUUUUUUAGUAUUGUAUAACCAAUUAAAUAAUAAUAUUAGGUUAGAGGGGGAAGGGGCAUUAGAAUGCCUCUUUCUUCUUUAAAAUAUCAUCAACAUAUCUACUAUGAGUUUAACAUUCAUCUCCCAUAUUUGAUAGUUGUCUGAUAUAAUUUUUUUUUAAAUUUAUUUCCAAUUUCAUAACUUCAUUUUUAAAUUUAUUAUUCAAAUUUUGAAAACAGUAAUUGUAUUUAUUAUUUUUAGGAUGGGUGGGGGAGGGCAUACGUCCCUCCCGUUAUAGACACACCACUUGUAUACGUAAGAUCUUAUAUAACAUAAUUUUAUAUUGUAUACUAAUUUUACACAAUUUAGUAAAGUUUUAAAUAUAAAA